rnacentral:tRNA from 1 species
GCCUUUGUAGUGUAGUGGUCAGCAUGCUUCGCACAUAUUCAAGAGGUCCAAGGUUAGAAUCCCAGCAAGGGCA